rnacentral:rRNA from 1 species
AUUGAACGCUGGCGGCAGGCUUAACACAUGCAAGUCGAACGCGUGGCGGACGGUUGAGUAAUUCUUGGGACUCUCUCUUAUUGAGGGGUAUAACUACUGGAACCUUUAGCUACUCCCUCUUACCCUCGGCUGCCCCCACGUGGGUUGAGUUCGUUGGUGAGGUAAAGGCUCACCAAGCCGAUGAUCUCUAGCUGGUCUGAGAGGAUGACCAGCCACACUGGGACUGAGACACGGCCCAGACUCCUACGGGAGGCAGCAGUGGGGAAUAUUGCGCAAUGGGGGCAACCUGACGCAGCCAUGCCGCGUGAAUGAAGAAGGCCUUCGGGUUGUAAAGUUCUUUCGGUAGCGAGGCGGUAACUACAGAAGAAGAACCGGCGAACUCCGUGCCAGCCGCCGCGGUAAUAC